rnacentral:rRNA from 1 species
CAAAACGGAGGAAGGUGGGGAUGACGUCAAAUCAUCAUGCCCCUUAUGUUCUGGGCUACACACGUGCUACAAUGGCCGGUACAGACGGACGCAAAGCCGCGAGGUGGAGCAAAUCCUAAAAAGCCGGUCUCAGUUCGGAUUGCAGGCUGCAAUUCGCCUGCAUGAAGUCGGAAUCGCUAGUAAUCGCAGGUCAGCAUACUGCGGUGAAUACGUUCCCGGGCCUU